rnacentral:tRNA from 1 species
UGCUCGCGCAGCGCGUGGCACACGGCCUGCGCCGCCUCGGCCGGUGCGAGGUCCGCGGCCGCCUCGCGGGCGAGCGU